rnacentral:lncRNA from 1 species
GCCACAUGGGCUUCUACUGCAGGUUUCAUUGGGUCCACAUCUCAGGCUCAUUUCCCUUCACAUGGGUCAGGGGCUUUCCCUGCAUCUGCUCCCUGGACUACCCACCUGCCAACCCAGCCACCUCAAUACCUGUUCAUGCCUGUUCUGAUUCUGUUGCUGUUGCCAGACAUCCCAUCCUCAGUCAUCACAGCUACCAAUGCUGUGCACAAACUAAAAAGUCAAUAGAUCUGGAGAGACACCUGGGAAUUCCUAGGGAGGGAAUUAGGUUAUAUUCCUAACCUAGGUUAUAAUUAGGAUUUUUUAAAAUCCCCACAUUAAGAAUGGGGAAUAUUAUUCCAAUUCAGAGUGUUAGGACUCUGUAUAGUUCCACAAUGGGUGGUUUAAAAUUGAAAAAAAUAAAAGAAGGAAUAGCAGACUUAAGUUGGAUCAGCAUAAUGUUGAGUAUAACUGUUAACUGGUAAUUCAUAGCUAUCCUUUAAAAAGUGGUUUAAUAACUAAGCCAAAUAUUAAAAGUUGACUGAUAAGGACCAAGCAUUGGUGGCAUACGCCUUUAAUCCCAGCACUCGGGAGGCAGAGGCAGGCAUAUCACUGUGAUCUCCAGAGCAAGUGCCAGGAUAGGCUCCAAAGCUACACAGAGAAACCCUGACUUGGGAAAAAAACCAGCUGACUGAUAAAAUAUGUCUUAGAAAGGUUUAUAUUACUAAGGUACAAGCUUUAGGGAGACCUACUAAUGAAACUUAAGAAAAAUAUUCACACAGAGAUGCUGAAAUAUAGAGCAGUACCUACCAUAGCACUGCAUAAUGAAACUGAAGAGGAGUGGUCCAAAGUUAUUAGAAAAGCAACAUGAGUUUAUCUAGUUACUAUAUAAGAAUGAUCAUUGGACAAUAGACAGCCCCAAUGUUGUGUAGAAGUUAAAUGGAAUCCUGUAUAAUGUUAGAUUUGAAGAGAUUUAAGGAAGCAGUAAUUUCAUAUGGUAUGCAUUUUUCCUAUAUGAAACAGAUGUUAAAUUCCUGUACAACUCAAAACUGAAUUACCCCCAAGACUGAAAAGACUUAGCUACAGUAAUAUUGGAGGCUCAUUCUCAGUUACAAUGGAGAACAUGGUGGAAAGAGGGAGCUAGGGCCAUAGAAUAAUGAAAUAGGGUAGAGCCACUGAUAUUUCAUAGACAAGUUUCUUGGUGAAGGCCCAUAUACUGAAUUGAAUUCAUUGGCUACAUCUUGGCAUUAUGUCUUUAGCUGCUUUGAAUACUUGGGAGAGGGCUAAAGAAUUAGGAAAGAGGACUGAGUAAUUUACCAAAAUUAUAUACCCCCAAAGAAGUGUUCACUGCUUUUUUUUCAAAUAUUUACUUCCGCUGUAAAUAUAAUAUUACAUGCAGAAGUUAGACAAAUACUAAUUGCAUCUUUGUCUUUUCAUUCUACCACAGAAUGAAAAGGAGUGAUUAGGCCUUUAAAAGCAAGAUCAGUACCCAUAGGUAAAUGGAUCAGAAAUACAGCUAAUAUUGAAUCUCACACUUAUGAUACUAGUUUGAUAGGAAAAGUGAUUUCUAAAAAUUUGAAGAAAAAGCAAAAUGUCAGGUGUUUUGGUUGUGGCAAACAAGACCAUCUGUAGAGGACCGGUAGGCUAAGCAUUCCUAGAAACAAUGUGUUUUUUUUUUUCUAGAGCCAAUUCAAACAGAAGUCCCUAGCCUUCCAGAAUAUGCAGAAAGCAUGGCAAAGCCUGCAUUGGACGAAUGAAUGCAAAUUAACAAGGGACAGGCAAGGUAACCCUUUUCUAUCUGGAAAUACCUUAGGAAGACUUUUGCAGGCCCCAAUAUCAAAUUUGGUUCAAUCAUUCUCUGAUAGCAUUGGAAGUUCAUCCAUGGAUCAAUUAAGGACUUAAUGCUUAUUGUUAAAAAACCAUACUGCUCUAGAUGAUAGAAUGAUUUUAUUAGAUGAAACAAAAACUUUCAGGAGAAAGAAUAAGACAGCUGUUUUUCAAAUUUUAAUAAAUCAUCAAAGACAAAAGCUAAAAAUAUGAAUAAAUAACAUUGCAAUUGAAGUUGUGGUUGACAUAAGUGCAGAUGUAACAAUAAUUUCACCAAAACCUUGGUAUCCAGAUUGACCACUUCAGGAGUUAGAUAUUCAGCUUCUAGGGAUUGGAACUUUAUCUCAGGUCAAACAAAAUAUAAGGUGAGUUGAGUGUAUAGGGAUGAAAGGACAUUUAGGGCAAUUAAGGUCAUAUGUGGCUAACAUAGGUUUGAAAUUAUGGGGACAUCAUUGGUUACAGCAAUGGAAAACAGAAUAAUAGUCCUCCAAUCUCAGAAAUUAAACCAUAAAACAAAACAUGCUUCUGAGAGAAAUAUUACAAGUUAUUAUCAAAAUUAGUCACUGACUAUUCAGGUUGUGCAUAAAUGGGCCCAACAGCUGUUAGUCUUCCAAAGGUACUGACAGCCCUACAUUUAAAAUGGUUUAUUAACUUUAUUUUUUGUUUUUUGACACAGGGUUUCUCUGUAUAACAGUCCUGGCAAUCAUGUUUUAGACCAGGCUGAUCUCAAACUCACUGAGAUCUGCCUGCCCCUAUUCCCUAAAUGUUGGGAUUAAAGGCAUGUACCACCACCACACAGGUAACUUUAAAUAAAUUUUUAAAAUGCUGAUGAGAAAGGAAUGACAGCUGUGGAGAGGCAUUGGAUAGUAGAAAAAACUGCUGAAUUAAAUCAGCCUGUAUAUUUUAAUGAUAAGUUGACUUCAGAAUGGAAGUCAGUAUAUGUUUUAUAUAGGGGAGGAGAUUUUGCGUUUGAUAUGAAAAGAACAGCUAUGGUUACCAUUAGGUUUAAUAAUGAUAAGAUUCUUUUAGAAGAGUCAUCUUGAUUAGGAGAGGUGAUAGUUCAUUAAACAGUAUGUCAAUUCACUCUAAACUACCUGAUGCCUUCUACUACUAACAAAUGCCUUCAUUUGAUCAGAUAUAAACUGCCAAAAGGAACCUGCCAUAGUUAGGUUUGGGGCAGGGUUUUGGUUUGUUUUGUUUCCAGGAGAAUAAGAGCAUCCAAUAAAAGCAAGUAAAGACCACGACAAAGGGAACAUGGGAAGAAGAAGGGCAAAUCAUCAAGAGAAAAUGUCCCAAGGCGAAGAGUAGAUUUGCUUAAUUGUAUAACAUACCUUCAACAGAAUAGAAUUUUAUAAAUCUUCCCAAAUGUUUGUUUUUGCUGUGUUUUACAAAUAAAAAAGACAAACUGUACACUUUUGUGUUUCCAAUUCAAUUAAAAAUGAAAGCUGGACUUUGACUUGUAGUGUGGCUCUCUCCUUCUCUAAACCAAGUAUGCUCACUAAAAGAAACCCCAAAUCUCUCUUUCCUGUCAGAAGAGUCACCUGCUAUGGGACAGAAGAAAAACAAAAAUUAAGGUACUAUUCUAUUUCUACUAAUCUCAUAAUCCAUUGGUUUUAUUUUGAAUAUUAAAACAUUUCUUAAUGUAUAAAUAUUAGCUCAAAAUCUGUGAUAUUAUUAUAUAUAUUUAAACUUUCAGGUUUGAUAUUAAUGGUCAUAUGGUGUAUUAACUAAUUGUAGAAGUAAAGUUCAUCUAGCUUCCUGUAUGUGAUUUCUGGCUUGAGUCUGAAGGAAUAACGAGAUAACUAGGAACUAAGUUUGUGUACCCUGAAUGUAUUUAAGAGAUUGUGGUUCUUUAACCUCUUUGAUAUCUGAUAAAUUGAUAUGGAUUUUUGUAUAUUGAUACAAAUAUAAGGCUGUUUUUGUUUUAACAUAUUAUAUAUUUUUUUCUAUUCUUGUUUAAGGUAUUAUAGUGUAAGAUCUUAAAAUGAAGUUCAUCCAAAACUGUAAGGUAAAGUUCUAGUCCUUGAAAGCUAUUAUUCCAAAUUAUGUAGUAUAACUAAGAAAUGCAGAUUAGUAGUUAGUCACUUAUAACAGUGAAAUUUAUAGCUAUGUUAAAUAUGUUUUCAAGUGCAAACAGAUGUAUUUUAGAUGGAUAGAUGGUCUUUAAACACUUCAUAUCUACAGAAUAUGGCAUUUAAUAUAUUUUAAUAACAUAAGGUAUUUUAUGACAGUGAGAUGUAUUUUCUUCUGGCAGCACCAAUUUAUUUUAGAGAACAUGAUGGGCAUGGAGUUUGCUAUCUUUGUGACACUGCUCUUCCCUUGACUGCUGAUAGUAGGCUGCCCAAAUUGGACAAGCAGGACACAAAUGAAUGCAACUGGAGAUCUUUGCAAAGACGAAGUAAGUCCUUCCAAAUUCCUGUUUCAUAGAAAAGUCUGUGAGAUAUUCCAGUCCUGUAGGCUGAAUAUGUAUGCACCAGUGUUUCACAAGAUCCUUGAGUGACCAUCCAGGCAGCCAGCUGUCUCUGUCAUUUUUAUAGUUUUGGAAGUUGUUUGCUCUGCAUUUUCUGUUUACUUGGGUAAUAUUUUCUCCUUCUUGGAUCUCUGAUGGGGGUGAAGAAUAGAUAGUUACUUCCCCCGUAUAGAUUCACAGAGGUAGUAGACUGUUCUCAAAUAAUGUACUUAUCUUAUUGGAUGUCUUGUUGGUGUCCUCCCUUGCCAGUGGAUCACAUCCUGCCGCUGGAGGACAGGGAAAAAGGGAUACUUCCUAUUUCUCC